GGCGCUUAUGAUUAUAAGUCAUAUGCACCGAUCCAGUGCACGUUCAUGUAUAAUGCAUAGUUAACAGCACAUUAUAUAUAUACAAAGGCUCGUAAACCUCUCGUAACGUCAGCGGUCCAAAAUGGCACGCGAUCGCGAGUGUUUACGUCGUGCGAGCCGCUGGAGUUCAGCUGUUUGGUAGUUGCAGCCCAGAGCCGUCCGCCGUUGCGCUUCGCUUGUUUGUCCGCAUGCGCACUCUUUUUUCUCUCCUGAUUUUAACACCAUGAAAAUAUUUUUUGAGAAACUGAAAGCACAAUCAGUUCUCUGCUUUAGUUUUGUCCGUCAUUGUACCCAAGUCCAAGGUGCAUCCCUGACAACAGUCUUCCACUCUUGGAAUACCGUGUGCAAAUAAAUAAGUAAAGUCUGUCUUCAGUUUAGUCGAUCACGCUUAUUACUCCUGGCACUUCACCUCCUCCUUGACUGUUCGUUUACUACUAAUACACCGAAACAAGCCCUAAGUCAGAACUGGAGUUCACUAUUAAACGGCGUGAUUCAAACGCACAGAGAGCAGGACAGUCUGCUGUAGAACUCUCUGGAACCAAGAAUUCUGGAAUUUUACCUUUCGCUGAAAAGAUGGCACACAUGUUCCCCCCAGAAAAUGUAAUACUUAGUAUAUUUCAUUCCAAAUUAUCAGUAGAUGCCUGCCAUUUACUCUAAGGUCAGUAUGAAAUAUCCUUAUGGCAAUCGCAGUGUCUCAGAAUAAUCAAUUUUUCUAGCACAGGUGCUCUUAAAUGGUGUCUUGUGGUGAUUUGCAUUUUAAGAAACGUGCUAUUAUAGAUUGUGGUGAAGAAUGAGUCAGUGUUGAAAACCAGUUAAGAAGUUCAUAGGUGGGCAAUUCUGUAGAUAAAGAAGAGCUCAUUGGCCGCUAAACAGCAGCAGUCACUUCAGUGUUGCUCUGAGGAGGGGAUGCCUGCUACUGUCUUUUGGUGAUGCAAAGCUGAAGAGGUUGAUGGAAAUUAUGGAGUAAACUGAAAAGUGAAGUAAAACUCUUGAGGUAUCCUAUGAGAAUGUUCAGACAACUUUAUGAUAAAUUACUAGGAAUAAAAAAAUUGCCUUGUAAAACUUAUUGUGUAUCCCUCAUUGUGCAGGUUCUCAGUCACUGCCUGAUUCUUAAAAUAUGAAAAUAUAACAAGCGGUGCUGGUAUGAGGCUUCUAUUUGUUGUGAAGCACAGUAUUAGGCUAAUGGGAGAGAUGUAGCUUUAAAAGUUCUAUUUGUCUCCCAACUGUUGUGGUAUAUGGCCGGCCGUUCAUCCCGGCCAAUACCCCCACGCUGACAGAUGGAGUUCUCCCGACAACAUGGAGGUGCCCCGAAUUCCAGCAGGGCAUUAUGGACCUUGGAGUUUUUCUUCACAGCCCAGCUGGAUACCGUGGGCGCCGCCAGGGGACGCUGUAAGGAGGCCUAGGGACUUAUAUUAUCCAUAUGGCCCAGAAGUAAUUCACAAUCAUGGAAACGGAAGAAAUUAUAUACUUCUGGGCUGAGGAGAAGAGGAGUUUUGAUCUGACCCGGAAGUGCCAAGAAUCACAUGGACUGGGAGGAUC